GACGAACGCUGGCGGCGUGCCUAAUACAUGCAAGUUGAGCGAUGAAGAUUGGUGCUUGCACCAAUUUGAAGAGCAGCGAACGGGUGAGUAACGCGUGGGGAAUCUGCCUUUGAGCGGGGGACAACAUUUGGAAACGAAUGCUAAUACCGCAUAAUAACUUUAAACAUAAGUUUUAAGUUUGAAAGAUGCAAUUGCAUCACUCAAAGAUGAUCCCGCGUUGUAUUAGCUAGUUGGUGAGGUAAAGGCUCACCAAGGCGAUGAUACAUAGCCGACCUGGGAGGGUGAUCGGCCACAUUGGGACUGAGACACGGCCCAAACUCCUACGGGAGGCAGCAGUAGGGAAUCUUCGGCAAUGGACGAAAGUCUGACCGAGCAACGCCGCGUGAGUGAAGAAGGUUUUCGGAUCGUAAAACUCUGUUGGUAGAGAAGAACGCUGGUGAGAGUGGAAAGCUCAUCAAGUGACGGUAACUACCCAGAAAGGGACGGCUAACUACGUG
rnacentral:rRNA from 1 species